CAGAGUUUGAUCAUGGCUCAGGACGAACGCUGGCGGCAGGCUUAACACAUGCAAGUCGAGCGCCCGUAGCAAUACGGGAGCGGCAGACGGGAGAGUAACACGUGGGAACGCGCCCUUCGGUUCGGAAUAACUCAGGGAAACUUGAGCUAAUACCGGAUACGCCCUUACGGGGAAAGAUUUAUUGCCGAAGGAACGGCCCGCGUCCGAUUAGCUAGUUGGUGAGGUAGUGGCUCACCAAGGCGACGACGGGUAGCUGGUCUGAGAGGAUGGCCAGCCACAUUGGGACUGAGAUACGGCCCAGACUCCUACGGGAGGCAGCAGUGGGGAAUCUUGCGCAAUGGCCUAACGGCUGACGCAGCGACGCCGCGUGAGGGAUGAAGCUCCUCGGAGUGUAAACCUCUGUUGCUCGGGACGAAUGGCGCCUUUUGGCGACGUGACGGUACCGAGUGAGGAAGCACCGGCUAACUCCGUGCCAGCAGCCGCGGUA
rnacentral:rRNA from 1 species